CAGUCGCCGCGGGAAUACGUAGGGUGCAAGCGUUAUCCGGAAUUAUUGGGCGUAAAGAGCUCGUAGGCGGUUUGUCGCGUCUGCUGUGAAAACUGGGGGCUCAACCCCCAGCCUGCAGUGGGUACGGGCAGACUAGAGUGCGGUAGGGGAGAUUGGAAUUCCUGGUGUAGCGGUGGAAUGCGCAGAUAUCAGGAGGAACACCGAUGGCGAAGGCAGAUCUCUGGGCCGUAACUGACGCUGAGGAGCGAAAGCAUGGGGAGCGAACAGGAUUAGAUACCCGCGUAGUCCCUGUCUCUUAUAC
rnacentral:rRNA from 1 species